GUAGAAAUGCGUAGUCGAUGGGAAGCAGGUUAAUAUUCCUGCACUUUUCUACAGUGCGAUGUGGGGACGGAGAAGGUUAGGUCUACCAGGCGUUGGUUGUCCUGGGGAAAGGAGGUAGGCAUGAUUCUUAGGCAAAUCCGGGAAUCUCUAUGCCGAGCACCGAGACGAGUCCUAUGAGGACGAAGUGACUGAGACCACGCUUCCAGGAAAAGCCACUAAGCUUCAGCUGUAGAAAAACCGUACCGCAAACCGACACUGGUAGGCAGGGUGAGAAUCCCAAGGCGCUUGAGAGAACUCGGGUGAGGGAACUAGGCAAAAUGGCACCGUAACUUCGGGAGAAGGUGCGCCCUUUGGUGUGGUCACGUGCGUGACUGAGCAUCGAAGGGUCGCAGUAACCUGGCCGCUGCGACUGUUUAUCAAAAACACAGCACUCUGCAAACACGAAAGUGGACGUAUAGGGUGACGCCUGCCCGGUGCUGGAAGGUUAAUUGAUGGGGUCAGCCGCAAGGCGAAGCUCUUGAUCGAAGCCCCAGUAAACGGCGGCCGUAACGAUAACGGUCCUAAGGUAGCGAAAUUCCUUGUCGGGUAAGUUCCGACCUGCACGAAUGGUGUAACGACAGCGGCGCUGUCUCCACCCGAGACUCAGUGAAAUUGAAAUCGCUGUGAAGAUGCAGCGUUCCCGCGGCAAGACGGAAAGACCCCGUGAACCUUUACUAUAGCUUUACAUUGAACGUUGAGUUCUUCUGUGUAGGAUAGGUGGGAGGCUAUGAAACCGAGACGCUAGUUUCGGUGGAGCCAUCCUUGAAAUACCACCCUGAAGUGCUUGACGUUCUAACCUAGGUCCGUAAUCCGGAUCGGGGACCAUGUAUGGUGGGUAGUUUGACUGGGGCGGUCUCCUCCCAAAGAGUAACGGAGGAGCACGAAGGUACGCUCAGCGCGGUCGGACAUCGCGCACUGUGUGCAAAGGCAUAAGCGUGCUUGACUGCGAGAUCGACGGAUCAAGCAGGUACGAAAGUAGGUCUUAGUGAUCCGGUGGUUCUGUAUGGAAGGGCCAUCGCUCAACGGAUAAAAGGUACUCCGGGGAUAACAGGCUGAUACCGCCCAAGAGUUCAUAUCGACGGCGGUGUUUGGCACCUCGAUGUCGGCUCAUCACAUCCUGGGGCUGUAGCCGGUCCCAAGGGUAUGGCUGUUCGCCAUUUAAAGUGGUACGCGAGCUGGGUUCAGAACGUCGUGAGACAGUUCGGUCCCUAUCUGUCGUGGGCGUUGGAGAUUUGAGGGGGGCUGCUCCUAGUACGAGAGGACCGGAGUGGACGUUCCGCUGGUGUUCGGGUUGUCAUGCCCAUGGCAUUGCCCGGUAGCUACGAACGGAAGUGAUAACCGCUGAAAGCAUCUAAGCGGGAAGCACGCCCCAAGAUGAGAUCUCCCGAGAGCUAGACUCUCCUUAAGGCACCAUCAAGACUAGGUGGUUGAUAGGCGCGGUGUGGAAGUGCAGCAAUGCAUUGAGCUUACGCGUACUAAUGAGCCGUGAGGCUUGACCAA
rnacentral:rRNA from 1 species